rnacentral:ncRNA from 1 species
GCAGAGUAGGGAUAUGCGUGCAGCGCCCUGAAAGGGGCCCAGUGCCGGCGGAACGGGGAGUUGUCCGCCGGACGAAAAGCCAAGCGGCUUGCAGUGCGUAUCCCGCAUCCCGCUGC